UAGGGAAUAUUGCUCAAUGGGGCGAAAGCCUGAAGCAGCAACGCCGCGUGGAGGAUGACACUUUUCGGAGCGUAAACUCCUGUCGUUAGGGACGAUAAUGACGGUACCUAACAAGAAAGCACCGGCUAACUACGUGCCAGCAGCCGCGGUAAAACGUAGGGUGCAAGCGUUGUCCGGAAUUACUGGGUGUAAAGGGAGCGCAGGCGGACCGGCAAGUUGGAAGUGAAACCAUGGGCUCAACCCAUGAAUUGCUUUCAAAACUGCUGGCCUUGAGUAGUGCAGAGGUAGGCGGAAUUCCCGGUGUAGCGGUGGAAUGCGUAGAUAUCGGGAGGAACACCAGUGGCGAAGGCGGCCUACUGGGCACCAACUGACGCUGAGGCUCGAAAGUAUGGGUAGCAAACAGGAUUAGAUACCCUGGUAGU
rnacentral:rRNA from 1 species